GGAGGGAUGGCAGAGCGGUCGAAUGCGGCGGUCUUGAAAACCGUUGUCCCUUUACGGGGACCGUGGGUUCGAAUCCUACUCCCUCCG
rnacentral:tRNA from 1 species